rnacentral:lncRNA from 1 species
GAAUGUUUUCAGCCUCUGCACACAGCAUAGCUGAACGUCAGAGCUGUUGAUGAAGUGUGGAGUUAUCUUACUGACUCUUGGAGACCAGAAGGUUUGGGGUGGCCAAGGAAAUCUUCAAAAUCAUCAUCUUGUAUCAAGACCAUCACCUUCAAACACUGUAGAAUCCAAGGGACUCCAGGCCAUGGCUGUUUUGUUCAACUUUGAUCCUGUGCCUAACCAGACCAGACACAAAACUGACCUUCAAGGCGAGCCUGGCGGAAGCGACUUUUCAUGACCGGAAGAGUGGGUCAGAGGAAGGAGGAGAGUGCGGCAGCAAGCAGCGGUGCUCACCAGGCAUCCCCUGCAUUACCCAGCUUGCCUUGCAGACCCAAGAGCAGCGGCCUCACACCGUGGACAGCUUGGCUGGGCUGCGGGAGCCCCAGAGCUUCCGCCCCGGCUGCUGGCUCCAGGCCUUGCAUCGACAGAAAGACUUCCAUCCCCACCGUUGUUGUCAUUGCCGACGUGCAGAGGAACAGGAGCAGCACUAUAAGAGAUGAAUGGAGGUGUGAAUUAUUAAUGCCCGUGAAAGAAAUUGCUGACCCAAUUAGUAUUCCAUCGUUAACUGUGUCUCUCAUGCCAACACACUGA